AUGAACGAUAUACCAGCUCAAAGAGGAGUGUUGCCGGCAAGUCCCUUUGACCUACUCGAUCUAGAUCAUCAGAUCGAACCUACUUAUGAUCCACGAUGGGCUCUUGGGAAAGAGAAAAAAAGAAGGCUGCUACACCUUACCAAGUGGGAGGCUAGAUGUUCCACUGUUCAACCAUCUACUUUUUUCCUUCUCAACAUCAAACUUGGGCUUCCAUGUCUUCUCCAGGAUAGAGGUGGCUACCUUGUAAUCAUUGGUAAUAAGAAUAUUGCCGUAAAGGAUUCCAUCCUGCAUUGUCCAGAUCUCAAUUCCAAUAGCAGCAAUCAGAUCAAAGUCAUGCUUGUCAAGCUCAAAGUACUCAGGGUUGGGGAUAUCACAUGA
rnacentral:rRNA from 1 species